rnacentral:tRNA from 1 species
AGAAUUUUAAGUUUUUAAUAAACUAUAAGCCUUCAAAGCUUAAAAAAAAAGUAUUCAUCCUUUUAAAUUCUA